CUGGUUGCUAGCUAGCUAGCUAGCUAAAUAAAUAAAUAAAUGUGUGAUUCGUUCUUUGCCACCUACUGUUUUAUCAUGAAAUUGUUGAAAGACUAAGGAGGAGAAAAAAAAAAGCAUAAAGUCUCAAAUUGGCUCCAGUUGACUGCAGACUUUUCCCUUGUCAACAAUUUGCAAAGGACUCAACAGGCCUGAGUCAACACGCGCCUCCUCCACUGGUCUGACUUCCUGUCACAGGAAAUUAAAUCAAAGCUGUAUUGACAGGGUCCUAAAAAAGUCUCAAAGUUUAGCGGCAAAAAAAUUACAAUUACAGCAAUGUAAAAUGGCUCCCCCCUCGGUCAUUUUCAAGCCAUUUGUCCGAUAUGGCGUGCUCACCGUUGCGAUAGUUUGCUAUGUAAACUAAAUGCUUUACAUCAUCAAACACCACAGGCAAUACACGAUGCAAAACUUGAAAAUACGCCCAUUUUUAAACAAAAAAAUUUGCAGGAUUUGAACUACUUCCAAACGAUGUGAAAAAAUAGGGUUUUAAGGACAUGAGGUAAGAGGGGUGGAAAAAAUAGUUACGACAAUCACUUUCUGAAAUCGAAAUCAAAAAUCAAUUUUCUCCAAAAUAUAUACUCACGUUGACAAGCAACAAAAUACCAUACAAUGAAGUUAUCAGUACUGUAAAUGUGCCAUUUCCUUCUAAGGUAUCUCGAUGUAUUUUAAAAGGAAAGUCAAGUCAAAAAUAAUUGUUACAAUCAUAUGUUCUGUGCGGCAUUCUGUUUAAUACUGCGUUUGUGGAAUACGAAUUAAGGAGGAAAAUCCACCAAUUAUUAUGUAUUCAAUUUGCCAUUUGCUGUCAAUCGAAAAUGACAUUACAGUUGCUCACGGCUCAGGUAACAACCAGUCACGGCUCAGCUUGCGAACAUCACAUGACCCAACUCCAAACAGGUUAAAAUGGAACCAUUCAAAUCACUUCGAUAUGAUGCACUAGCAUCUUUAAAAAAAUACAAAUAAAAAUCUGAUUCAGAGCAGUUUUUGUUCCCCCCUAAUAACUACUAACUAGUUUUGAUAUCAGAAGCCAGU